rnacentral:lncRNA from 1 species
CUUCAUCAUAAUGCAAGAGUUUAAAGGAAGAUGCACACUUAUGAUGAUCUUGUCAAAAAUAAUUUUUAUUAAUUCAUAUAUAAAUUACAAAGAGCUUAAUCAUCUACAGAUAGACAAUUAAUUUAGGAUACAUUUUCCAACAGACUAUGUCACAUGCAUAAAAAGGAAAGUGGUGUGAAGCCAUGUAAGAAGAGAUAAAAUCACUACAUAAGAACCACACUUUUGAUCUGGUGGAGCUACCCA